rnacentral:rRNA from 1 species
AUUGAACGCUGGCGGAAUGCUUUACACAUGCACGUCGAACGGCAGCACGGACUUCGGUCUGGUGGCGAGUGGCGCACGGGUGAGUAAUGUAUCGGAACGUGCCCAGUCGCGGGGGAUAACGUAGUGAAAAUUACGCUAAUACCGCAUACGAUCUAUGGAUGAAAGCGGGGGAUCGCAAGACCUCGCGCCACUGCAGCGGCCGAUAUCAGAUUAGGUAGUUGGUGGGGUAAAGGCCCACCAAGCCAACGAUCUGUAGCUGGUCUGAGAGGACGACCAGCCACACUGGAACUGAGACACGGUCCAGACUCCUACGGGAGGCAGCAGUGGGGAAUUUUGGACAAUGGGCGAAAGCCUGAUCCAGCCAUUCCGCGUGCAGGAUGAAGGCCCUCGGGUUGUAAACUGCUUUUGUACAGAACGAAAAGGUUUCUACUAAUACUAGGAGCUCAUGACGGUACUGUAAGAAUAAGCACCGGCUAACUACGUGCCAGCCGCCGCAGUAA